rnacentral:rRNA from 1 species
GACGAACGCUGGCGGCGUGCUUUACACAUGCAAGUCGAACGGGCCCUUCGGGGUCGGUGGCAGACGGGUGAGUAACGCGUGGGAACGUGCCCUUCAGUUUGGGAUAACCCAGGGAAACUUGGGCUAAUACCGGAUACGUGCGAGAGCAGAAAGAUUUAUCGCUGAAGGAUCGGCCCGCGUCUGAUUAGCUAGUUGGUGGGGUAAUGGCCCACCAAGGCGACGAUCAGUAGCUGGUCUGAGAGGAUGAUCAGCCACAUUGGGACUGAGACACGGCCCAAACUCCUACGGGAGGCAGCAGUGGGGAAUAUUGGACAAUGGGCGCAAGCCUGAUCCAGCCAUGCCGCGUGAGUGAUGAAGGCCUUAGGGUUGUAAAGCUCUUUCGUCCGGGACGAUAAUGACGGUACCGGAAGAAGAAGCCCCGGCUAACUUCGUGCCAGCAGCCGCGGUAA